rnacentral:rRNA from 1 species
UACGAGGGGAGCAAGCGUUGUUCGGAAUCAUUGGGCGUAAAGGGCGCGUAGGCGGCCUGCACAAGUCCAGGGUGAAAGCCCUCGGCUCAACCGAGGAAGGGCCUUGGAAACUGUGCGGCUUGAGUAUUGGAGAGGAAGGCGGAAUUCCCAGUGUAGUGGUGAAAUGCGUAGAUAUUGGGAGGAACACCUGUGGCGAAGGCGGCUUUCUGGACAAUCACUGACGCUGAGGCGCGAAAGCUAGGGGAGCAAACGGG